rnacentral:lncRNA from 1 species
UCGCCUUCUUGACAUUAAUAAGUCAACAUAUAAUGGUUCUUGAAUUGAAUUUGUUGGCUGUUGGUUCUCUAUUUCUUUUGAGCCAUAAAUACAUAGAAAUCAUAAAUAAGAAUAAAAUAUCAAAUGUAAAAUUUUAUGAAUUAUAAUUCUUUUAUAGCAAAGAUUUGCUAUCUUUUAUUUUGAUUUUGAUAGAUGUCUUUGAUAAAAAUAUCAACAUUUUUUGAUAUAUUUAUAAGAUUUUUGGCUGGCUCUCAUGUGUGCUUAUUAAUAAUAUAUCCAUGCUAAUAAACAUUGGUGUUGCUUUAAUUAUAAGACUUCUUUGACCUC